rnacentral:rRNA from 1 species
CUACGGGACGCUGCAGUGGGGAAUAUUGGACAAUGGGGGAAACCCUGAUCCAGCAAUGCCGCGUGUGUGAAGAAGGCCUGCGGGUUGUAAAGCACUUUCGGUUGGGAGGACUGCUUCUAGCACUAAUAUUGUUGGAAGUUGACGUUACCUUCAGAAGAAGCACCGGCUAACUCCGUGCCAGCAGCCGCGGUAAUACGGAGGGUGCAAGCGUGAAUCGGAAUUAUGGGCGUAAAGCGCGCGUAGGCGGCUAGAUCAGUCGGGUGUGAAAGCCCCGGGCUUAACCUGGGAACUGCAUCCGAUACUGGCUAGCUUGAGUACAGGAGAGGAGAGUGGAAUUCCACAUGUAGCGGUGAAAUGCGUAGAUAUGUGGAGGAACACCAAUGGCGAAGGCAGCUCUCUGGCCUGAUACUGACGCUGAGGUGCGAAAGCGUGGGGAGCAAACAGGAUUAGAUACCCGAGUAGUC